UCUUUUCUAAUAAUGACGUCA
rnacentral:piRNA from 1 species